AAGCCCCAGUAAACGGCGGCCGUAACUAUAACGGUCCUAAGGUAGCGAAAUUCCUUGUCGGGUAAGUUCCGACCCGCACGAAAGGCGUAAUGAUUUGGGCACUGUCUCAACAAUGCACCCGGUGAAAUUGAAAUACCAGUGAAGAUGCUGGUUACCUGCGCCAGGACGGAAAGACCCCAUGGAGCUUUACUCCAGCUUGAUACUGGGAUUCGGUACUGCAUGUACAGGAUAGGUGGGAGGCUUUGAAUCAUGGACGCCAGUCUGUGAGGAGCCGCUGUUGGGAUACCACCCUUGCGGUAUUGGAUUUCUAACCUGCAGCCAUGACCUGGCUGGGGGACAAUGUCAGGCGGGGAGUUUGACUGGGGCGGUCGCCUCCGAAAGGGUAUCGGAGGCGCUCAAAGGUUCCCUCAGAAUGGUUGGAAACCAUUCGAAGAGUGCAAAGGCAGAAGGGAGCUUGACUGCGACACCGACGGGUGGAGCAGGUACGAAAGUAGGACUUAGUGAUCCGGUGGUAUUAAGUGGGAAUGCCAUCGCUCAACGGAUAAAAGCUACCCUGGGGAUAACAGGCUUAUCACUCCCAAGAGUUCACAUCGACGGAGUGGUUUGGCACCUCGAUGUCGGCUCAUCGCAUCCUGGAGCUGUAGCAGGUUCCAAGGGUUGGGCUGUUCGCCCAUUAAAGCGGUACGCGAGCUGGGUUCAGAACGUCGUGAGACAGUUCGGUCCCUAUCCGGCGUGGGCGUAGGAUAUUUGAGAGGAGCUGUCCUUAGUACGAGAGGACCGGGAUGGACGGACCGCUGGUGUAUCUGUUGUUGUACCAACAGCAUGGCAGAGUAGCCAAGUCCGGCAGGGAUAAACGCUGAAGGCAUCUAAGCGUGAAGCCCCCCUCAAGAUAAGAUAUCCCAUCAUAAGAGUAAGACCCCUUGAAGACUACAAGGUUGAUAGGCUUGGAGUGUAAUCGUGGCAACACGUUCAGCUGACAAGUACUAAUAGGUCGAGGGCUUAUCCUU
rnacentral:rRNA from 1 species